AGCCGGGGUUUCUUUACCAGAUACUGUCAUUAUCAUCUCUGGCGAAAGUGCUUUACGACCCUAGGGCCUUCAUCACACACGCGGCAUGGCUAGAUCAGGCUUUCGCCCAUUGUCUAAGAUUCCC
rnacentral:rRNA from 1 species